rnacentral:tRNA from 1 species
ACGCCGCGUGGCCCAGCGGGCGCAGGUGCAGCGUGCCGUCGGCGCGCAGGUCGAGGUCCGCCGCGGCGGCGUCGAUGACGUCGACGGCGGCGGAC